rnacentral:lncRNA from 1 species
AGAGAGUGCCCUAGGGAUCGGCCAGUGUUGGCUUUGAAUUAUAUUUUUCCAAGUUGCUCUCCUUGAGUUUCUGUGGUCCAAGGCUUAUCUCCUCUGGGUCCAGAUUCAUCACCCUUCAAUAGACAGCCUCCCAGGUACUGGUUGCUACAUUCAGCAUAUUUCAUACUCUUCUUGUUUCAGGAGUGUGCCCUGAGGACAUAGAGUUGACGUCAGAUGCAGACAAAGCGUGACUGUCACAUUCUCCACACAAUUCCAGAUGACUUAGCUGGUGGCUCAUUGAAAAUGAAGCAUGCUGGUUAGGUGUGUCAGGAGGGCUCAUGCCUGUGCCAGCCAGCCUCAGCUUGCCAAGGAACAAAUGUCUCUACUUCCUGUUCUCAGAGCAUGUUUGGGGAUUGACUUUCCUGCUUUCUUUUGCAAACACUGUUCUUCAUGCCUGGAAUCCUCUACACUUCUCUGUCUUUCUGAAUCUUACUCAUACGUGAAGGGUAGCCUGGGUUACCACCUUAGAAAAGCUGUCUUUGUCUACCCAGGAGAACACUGUCUCCUUCGCCUCCAGACUCUUCAAGAAUCACUGGAGACCUGUUCUUUCCUGCGUUUUGGGUGUAAUGAUUUGGACAUGUGCACAGUUGUCUGCCUGGAUGGAUCAUGAACAACUCUCAAACAGGGACCAGGCAACAUCUACUGAUAUGGGUUGAAUUGUGCCCUCCCAAAUUCUUAUAUUGAAGUCCUACCCCCCAGUACCUCCAAAUGCAACCUUACUUGGAAGUAGGGUCAGUCGUUGAAGAUGUAAUUAGCUAAAUUAAGAUGAGGUCAUGCUGGAGUAGAGUGAGCCCCUGAUCCAACAGGCUGAUUGAUGUCCUUAUAAAAAGGGGAAAUUUGGAAACAGACACACACAGGAGGAGAAUGCCAUUUGGACAUGAAGGCAGAGAUGGAUGUGAGGAGUCUAUAAGCUAAGCAAGACCAAACAUUGCCAGUAAACCACCAGAAACUAAGAGAGGGGAUGGAACAGUUUCUCCCUCACAGUCCUCAGAAGGAAUCAACCCUGCCAGCACCCUAAUCUCAGAUUUCUAGCCUCCAGAACUGAGAGACAAUACAUUUCUAUUGUUUAAGCCACUCAGUUUGUGAUAUUUUGUGACUCCAGCCCUAGCUGCCCUAUUAAUACAGCUACCAUCAAGGUCUUGCAAAUUAUGCUUUGGUAUAAUUUUGGGAUUCAGAAAAACUGAAUAUCCUAAUAAAAUCUGUGACACAAGUCA